rnacentral:rRNA from 1 species
AGUGAACGCUGGCGGUAGGCCUAACACAUGCAAGUCGAACGGCAGCACAGGAGAGCUUGCUCUCUGGGUGGCGAGUGGCGGACGGGUGAGGAAUACAUCGGAAUCUACUCUGUCGUGGGGGAGAAAGUAGGGAAACUUACGCUAAUACCGCAUACGACCUCCGGGUGAAAGCAGGGGACCUUCGGGCCUUGCGCGCUUGAAGUAGACGAUGUCGGAGUAGAUAGUUUGCGGGGUAAAGGCCCACCAAGGCGACGAUCCGUAGCUGGUCUGAGAGGAUGAUCAGCCACAAUGGCACUGAGACACGGUCCAGACUCCUACGGGAGGCAGCAGUGGGGAAUAUUGGACAAUGGGCGCAAGCCUGAUCCAGCCAUACCGCGUGGGUGAAGAAGGCCUUCGGGUUGUAAAGCCCUUUUGUUGGGAAAGAAAUCCAGCUGGCUAAUACCCGGUUGGGAUGACGGUACCCAAAGAAUAAGCACCGGCUAACUUCGUGCCAGCCGCCGCAGUAA